rnacentral:rRNA from 1 species
AGUGAUCGCUGGCGGCGUGCUUAACACAUGCAAGUCGAGCGAAUUCUAUCAGCGUAUCGGUAGAGUUAGCGGCAGACGGGUGAGUAAUACUUGGGUAAUCUACCCUUGAGAGGGAAACAACCGGCCGAAAGGCUGGCUAAUGUCCCAUAAGACCACAGGAUGGCAUCAUCCAGGGGUCAAAGCUCCGCAAGGGGCGGCUUGAGGAGGAAUCCGAGUCCAUCAGCUAGUUGGUGAGGUAAUGGCUCACCAAGGCUUUGACGGGUAGGCCGGCCUGAAAGGGUGGAUCGGCCACACUGGCACUGAGACACGGGCCAGACUCCUACGGGAGGCAGCAGUGGGGAAUUUUGGUACAAUGGGGCAACCCUGAUCCAGCGACGCCGCGUGAAGGAUGAAGGUCUUCGGAUUGUUAAACUUCUUUUAGUAGGGGAUGAAUGCCUACGUGAAUAACGUAGGGUGACAGUACUCUCU